GCGCUCACUUCAGCUGCACAAAUGCUAAAAUUGGAAUGCUAUAGAAAUAGCAUGACCACUGCACAAGGAUGACAUGCAAAUUCAUGAAGUGUUCCAUAUUUUU
rnacentral:snRNA from 1 species